GAUGUUACGCAUGGCUCUGACAAAGAGGAAGUAGAGGUUGCAAACUAGCAAGGACCAUAUUUUUUUUUCUUUUAAAAAGGAGAGAGGAUUUCAGGAAUGUGUUGCUAUAAGGCAAGUUGUCAUUGUUAUGUCAUGUCAACUAGCAUUGGCGAUGUUAAAUGCUGCCCAGAGAUGUAGAGAAACGUUCUAUGCACGUUUUGGGAAUAUCCGGGAAGAACCCGGCAGCAGGAACAGCUGAUCAGUCAUGUGAGGUAAAUGUUCGCCAAGUCAGAACGUAUUAGGCAGAUGUGUUUCCAUCUCCCAUUAACUCUUUUUCGCAUAAUCCAAAAGCCAUCUCGGGUGAGUGUAAAAUUUUUAAUUAGGAAAUUGAGAAAGUUUUAUUUUUUUGCCAUUUCCAACAACUUUUUCUAGAGAUUCAUCUUCAGGACAAUGAGCCUAAACAUUUUGUGUUGAAGGGGAUAUAUGCGAAAUCCACUUUUUUACACCUUAAAAACAUUUUGUUAUGUACUUGAUUUGAGUCUCUAGGAUUGCAGAAAAUAUGAAAGUAGUCUGUCCAGGUCUUAUGUAGAUAGCCAUGUUCUUUUGGGUCAUAUUUUUCAAACUCUGUUUUCCAUUAUGCUUUUUGUACAAUUACAUCAAAAUAUUUUCUAUAGAGCAGCUAAACAAGUUGAUGGACUGAUUUUGUUGCCGAUUUUGUUAACCUGCCCUUUUUAUUUAAAUUUUUUUUGUCACAAUUUAGUAGUCCAAGCUCCAGGAUGCCAAAGCUAGAAGUGGAGAAGUCAAAAUGUUUGGUUCACAUUACCACAGUAUGGUACUAAAAUGUCCGAACGGGUUGGAGUGGAACGCUUUCUGACCUGGGGUGUGUCCAAAUUCAGGACUAGCAACCGAGACAGCAUUAAGCACAGCUGUGAAACUGAACCAACGGGGCCAAAGGUCAAUCUCUCUAUCUCCACUAAAUAACUACAUGUUUUACUUUCCGCUUUACAUUUUCCUGAUGUUUUGUUUAAAAGUGUUCUGGUUUCGUUAUUUAAUUUUACUGUCAUUCAUCAAUAAGCUGUUUUUAGUUCAAAAUAAUUUAUAUGUUAAUCGAUAUAAAAAUAUACUACCAAAUAAAAUUGAUUACAAAUACCACUUGUUAGAAAUAUGUUUAACAACUUAAACCCUAACCUUAAUUUCUGAACAAAGCUUAUAUCACUAUAUUUGUAGAGAAUAGUAAUAAAGUAAUGAAACAUUGUUUGCAGUGCCUCAUUUAGAUUUCAAGAGACAGCAAAACGAGUCGCUCUCAGAUGCACCUCAGAACAGAGGUCAAAGAGGGGAACGUGAACGUAAAUUAACGAGGAAUUCAGACCAAAGCAUUGCAGUUCCACUUUAUAUAGACCACAACUGAAUAAUUUCAACAUGAAAAGGAAGAAUCAAAAACCAUGAUAGAUUAUGAGAGUUAGAUCAAAGUAUACUCUUGAGUAUACUUUGAGAGUAUACUCUCAAAGUAUACUCUUAUAAUGGCCCUAUCAUAGUCCAGACCUAAAUUCAAAGUGUGGCAAGCCUCAAAAAAUUAUAUUCACAGAUGUUCUCUAAUCGAUCUGACUGAAUCUGAGCUAUGCAGCAAAAAUAAGAAUGCAAUAAAUAAAUAAGGAUCAUUUUCUUUUCACUUAAUUAUGCACUACAUUGUGUUGGUCUGUCGCAUAAAACCCAAUCAAAUCCACUGAAAUUUGUGGCAGCCAUGUGGCAAAAUCUGGAAAACCUCAAGCAGUAUUUAAUACUUUUGCAAGGCACUGGAAACCACAGAAGAAAAAGCUGCAGAAGAUCACUCUUGCUUAGCCUGUUUAUUGCCUCUUCCAUCCAGCAGGGCGGUGCCAGUGAGCCAGGAGUACAGCCAGAGCAGGCAGGGGUCUCUGUGAAGCGGGUGGGUGGGCAAGGAAGGCAAAGGAAGGUGGGAGAUGCUGUGUGCGUAUGCAUGAUGGUUGAUGCGUAUGACGGUGGAGGUGCUGGGAAUGGCUGGUAAGCUGCGUGUGCUAGGAGAGCAAUGAAAUGCGUACAUUUUAGUGCAUUUCUGACAUCUAGUCAGACACCAGAGAGCCGUAAGGAGGAAGCUCCUGACCCAGAGACAUGUUGUUGUUGUCAUCAGACAGACAGACAAACAGCCAUGGUGGGAAAAAAAAAAAAGGAUGGAGAGUUGUUGCGUUGGUGGAUCCGUAAAGCCAUGCAGGAAACUCAAAGCUGAAAUGCAAGUACAUUUCAAAGCAAUGAUGUGAGAUCUUCGGCUUUUAAAUCGAGGCUGACAUAUUAGCGUGAGGAGGUCACUGACCGCCCCCUAUUUAAUCUGGAUAGACACACGGUAGUCAGCUUUUAAGUUAGAAGCGGGAUAAAAAAAAGGUUUAAAGCUGAGGUACAGUCAACACCCAAGCAAACACAUAUAGUGAUGGAUUACAUCACACAUAUAAGAACUAGGGGGGGUAAAGACACAUCUGUCUCACAGGAUGAUGGACUAUAUUGGGUUUAUAAGAACUAGAAGAAGGGGCGGAGGCUACGUAAAUAUUUUUGUAAGUGACAAAAUCGACUCAGAAGUCUGGGCUCGGACUGGGAAAGGCAUCACAACCAAGUUUAAUUGCAUUUCUGUCUGUGAGUUGGUAAAACCAGCGUGAUUUGCUAAUUGUUUUAGGGUGCGUCUAUUAUGCCAAUAAUGUAUUUCUCCUUAUUUUAUGCAUUUAAACUAAAAAAAAGAUUAUAUUAGCAAAACCUUGCUAUACAGUACUAUGCGUACGGUCAGAAGUUCUAAAAAAUAGUUUAUACGCACAACUUUGACUAUUAAAUUUGCAGAAGCCAUGUUGGAUAAUGAACUAAGGGAUGCUCUGCUACCUCUGACUUUUCCUGUCAUAAUUCGUAUUUCAGGGGGCGUUCUUGUUGCAUAUCCGACUGGACUCAGAAAAGAAAUGACUUCCAAAGACAAAUGCUGUAUUUGAUUUGUUUCAGUAGCUAGAGCUAAAAUCUGGGAAUGAUGUCUGAACCAAGCUGAACAUGUUCUAGUUGCAAGUCAGAAAAUCAGUGGUAUAACAAUCUAAUUAUUUCCAUUUUAUAUAUUUAAAACUUUAGAAGAAUAUAUUCACAAAGAGGUUAAAUAGUACUUGGUGUGCCGCCAGUUUCAUAUGCUCAUAAACAGUAUGUAACUGUAAAUUUCAGUUUUGAUUCAGUUUUAAUAAAUGCUUUUAUUAUGUGUAGCAACCAUAUUGGAUACUGAACUUUUUGACUUUCCCAGUUGGAGUUUUAUUCAUGGAGGCAUGCUGGUUGAAUUUUCAACCUGAGGCUGAUGACAGUUCAACAGGGAAAAUCAACGUCUACUUUGGCUCUUACUUCAAAACAGGAGUCUCAAUUAUACAAGGGGGGGAAUAUGUAUUCAACACACAGUUUUUUUUUAGUAAACAUGUUUUACAAAAUUCAUACCAAAAUAAUAAUAAUAUACAAAGAAGUUCAUUCAAAUUAGCUAUACACAAUAAUGUGAAAAAGUACAGGCAAUGAAGAUCGAGCAAACUUGCAAAAAUUAUUCAGUGCUUUUGGAAUAAAUAUAUUGCUCAGGUAUAACCUUUUUAACCAGUUUUUCUCUCAAGCUAUCUUUAAAUCCUUAACUUGUUGAAUCUAUGCUAUCUCAUUGUCAGUUCUUUAUUGGUGAUUUCACUUGGAUCCAAGUAAGGUGACUCACUUGGCCAUCCCAGAAUAUUUAUUUUUCUGAAACCAGAUGAGGGUUUCCAUGGCUAUCUUUUUUAGGAUCAUUGUCUUGUUGAAAA